UCUGGUUGAUCCUGCCGGAGGUCACUGCUAUCGGUGUUCGAUUAAGCCAUGCGAGUCGAGAGGCGUCAAGGCCUCGGCGUACUGCUCAGUAACACGUGGACAACCUGCCCAAAAGGUCCGGGAUAACCCCGGGAAACUGGGGAUAAUACCGGAUAAAUCACAAGUACUGGAAGGUUUUGUGGUUGAAACUUCCGGGGCCUUUGGAUGGGUCUGCGGCUGAUUAGGUUGUUGCCGGUGUAACGUACCGUCAAGCCUGUAAUCAGUACGGGUUGUGGGAGCAAGAGCCCGGAGAUGGAUUCUGAGACACGAAUCCAGGCCCUACGGGGCGCAGCAGGCGCGAAAACUCUACAAUGCAGGCAACUGCGAUAGGGGAACAUCGAGUGAUACUCAUCUUGGGUGUCUGUCCUCCCGUCUAAAAAACGGGAGUUAGCAAGGGCCGGGCAAGACCGGUGCCAGCCGCCGCGGUAAUGCCGGCGGCUCGAGUGGUAGCCGAUAUUAUUGAGUCUAAAGGGUCCGUAGCCGGCUUUGCAAGUCUUUUGGGAAAUCCAGCGGCUUAACCGUUGGUCGUCCGGGAGAUACUACAUUGCUUGGGACUGGGAGAGGUAGGAGGUACUCAGGGGGUAGGAGUGAAAUCCUGUAAUCCUUUGGGGACCACCGGUGGCGAAGGCGUCCUACCAGAACAGGUCCGACGGUGAGGGACGAAAGCUAGGGGCACGAACCGGAUUAGAUACCCGGGUAGUCCUAGCCGUAAACGAUGCUCGCUAGGUGUCACAACAAUCGUGAAUUGUUGUGGUGCCGUAGGGAAGCCGUGAAGCGAGCCACUUGGGAAGUACGACCGCAAGGUUGAAACUUAAAGGAAUUGGCGGGGGAGCAC
rnacentral:rRNA from 1 species